GAGGGUAUAGCUCAGUGGUAGAGCGCAUGCUUAGCAUGCACAAGGCCCUGGGUUCAAUCCCCAGUACCUCCA
rnacentral:tRNA from 1 species